rnacentral:lncRNA from 1 species
GGGCAGGGGCCUUGGGAGCUCCUUGGCCUAUCUUAUUGCCGCUACCAGGCACUCCUUCCCAGCCUUUCUUUCCCAGGCCCCAGCCGGAGCCUGGAGUUGCUAUGGCAACUUCAGAGGAACCCAUUUCCUUAGUGAUAUCUAUGGUACAGAGUCUGGCCCGGAGCUUGGAGCUGCCAGCAAGAGGUCUCCUCUGCCGUCCCCAAUUUCUCUUCAGGCCUCACCCAGUUCCCAGAGUUCAUUCCUUAAGGACUCUUGCCCUCCACCCCCACCCCAAGUAGACUGUCUCCUUGCUGGCGUCCCCACCCUUACCCCUUCCUUCUCUUCCAGGCAGGGGUGGGUCUACAGAGUGGGUGGUGACUCAGGUAGUCUAAAAUAUCCUUAUAUCGAAGCAGCCAAAGAACUUAGGCUCCUGGAUGGUACUGUACUAUUUCUUCUUUCCGUGUCCCCAGAAACCGAGGCAGUUGGACAGGAGCAAAGGCUUAGGGUUCACGAUAUCUGUCUUCUGUUCCUAGCACCAAGUCUUAGCUGCCACCUUGGGAGGGCACUGAUUCUCUUUGAACCAGCCUCAAGUUUAUUUAUCUGUAAAUAGAGACAGUAUCAAUUGUUCUGUUGAGGGACUUCUGUAAGGAUUUUUUUUUCUUAAAAA